UACGUAGGGUGCAAGCGUUAAUCGGAAUUACUGGGCGUAAAGCGUGCGCAGGCCGUUUUGUAAGUCUGUCGUGAAAGCCCCGGGCUCAACCUGGGAAUUGCAUUGGAGAAUGCAAGGCUAGAAUCUGGCAGAGGGGGGUAGAAUGCCACGUGUAGCAGUGAAAUGCGUAGAGAUGUGGAGGAACACCGAUGGCGAAGGCAGCCCCCUGGGUCAA
rnacentral:rRNA from 1 species